rnacentral:sRNA from 1 species
AUACAGUAAGUUCCAGGACAGCCCAGUCACACAGAGAAACUCUGCCUUGAACCCUCCCUCACCUCCCCCACACCUUCUGGGGGUGGGGUAUAUUUUUCAACUGUGUUACAUUCAUACUGUUUUUGGUGGUGGUGGAGGAGGUGGAGGUGGUGGUGGUGGUGGUGGUGGUGGUGCUAACGAUCAAACUAUUGAAUUUUAGGAGUUCUUUCUUUACUGUGGAGUUUUGUCACUAUAGUUUUUUACUAGUAUUUCCCCCUGGUUUACAGCUUUCCUUUCUCUGCUUAGAGUUUUUGUUUUGUUUUAAACUAGGUAUAGCUGUUCGUGUCUGUAAUCCCAGCACUGAGGAGGCAGAGGCAAGAGGACUGCUACUAGUGCAAGGCUAGAUUGAGCUCCAGAAUGAGAUCAUCUCCAAAAUCCAAAAAGAGAAAAAGAAAAGAUCCGAGCAGUAACUGCGCUCCCUAGCUCCUACAGUGUGUUCAAUCAACUCCUGAUCCAAAGAAGGAAAAUUAGAUUCAAAAAGGAAACAAGUCUUGCUACAUAGCCUAACUGGGCCACAUGACGCUGCGCCUGCCUCCUGAGUGCUGGGAUUAAAAGUAUGUGCCUCUGUGCCUGGCUUCCACUGUUGCUCCUGAAGAGACACCUCCCUGCAAGGGGAGAUCGGCUACUGCCUAAAGUCCAGCAUCUUCCCACCUCAGCUCCCUGUCAGCCCAGGACCCAGUCGUCCCAUCUGCUGGGAAGAGCGCUCCACAGCCUGACCUUGGGAAAGCAGUGCAUCUCACCUUCUGGAGUAAUCUUUUCUAGUCAGGGCCUUCCAUCCUCUUGGUCACUAGAGAAGUGUAGAGGCAGA